rnacentral:lncRNA from 1 species
GUUAUUAUCGGAGAUUCGUUGAAUGAUAUUCUCGAAUCGCUAUUCCAUUAACGCAGCUGACUCGUAGAGAUACAAAAUUCGAAUGGAGCAAGGAAUGUGGGAUGUAACGCCCCCAAAAUCGGGACCAUUUCCCUUCCCGAUCUUGUGCGUUAAUACUACCCUGUUAUAUCUUUAAAACAUUAUUUAAUGUUAAAAUAGCUAAAAAUGCAAAAUAAAUUUUAAUUUUCUUCUUUAUUCCCAUUCAUUCAUUCCCUGAAUCGCAACCUUUACAAUUCUUCUUUAUAAUAAAAUUAUAUUUAUUCUCAUUUCAGAAUAAACAUUCUUUAUCUAUUUAACAUUUCAAACUAUACAUUACUGCCAAUUAUAUUUAGCAACUAUCAAUCAUAGCUUUAUACCAUUUCUAAUUCAAAGAAAUGUGUUCAUUUCGUCCAUCAUUCAUCCUUCAUCAUCCGCAAAACAAAAAUAAUAUUGCAUAACGUCAUUAACCUGCAAAAAAAUUGUGUUUGCAAGAUUAAGCUCGACAGCCCAACAAAUUUAACAGUCUAUCAUGUUUCACAUAGCACACAAUUCCAUAUGCACUACAUUGCCCUUAAUAUGCAUAUCCGCAUGCAACAUAUAUUCUUUACUAUGCAUAUCCUACAUGCAUCAAUAAUUCCUUAAAAAGCAUACAUUCAUGCAUUAUACAUUUUUAAUUUAUCGAGUUACAUCAUACAACAUGUGUUAUCACAAAUCACAUAUAAAUUGAGUUCCAUAACCCAAUUAACUGAGUCAUAUUUUGACUUUAACAAUUCAUAGAGCAUGAUAUGUAAUUUAGCACAUAAUCACAUUCCAUCCACAAACAUAACAAAACUGAAAAACUUGCCUGUAGCACUGUCUAAUAUUAUUGUUUAUCUGCUCUGCGAUGUUCCUACACAAAUUAAAUGUACAUUCAUGCCAUAUCAGUCAAUCAUAUAUUUAAUAUCAACUUAAUUAAUAUUACUAUAUCUUUUUCUUUAAAACUUUCAUUUAGUUUCUUUGAAAGUCUUUAGCUAAUUUCACAAUGUAACUUCUUCUCAUUUCUUGACUUAUACAUUUAACAUGUAUAAGUAUAACUGUAAGUCCAAAUCAGAUUUUUAGUUCAAAACCACAUACUUUACUAACUCUUAC